rnacentral:snRNA from 1 species
AUCGCCUCUUGGCCUUUUGGCUCAGAUCAAGCGUAGUAUCUGUUCUUAUCAGUUUUAUAACUGACACAUCCUCUCUCCGAGGGCAAUAUAUUAAAUGGAUUUGGGGAGCAGGGAGAUGGCCUAGGAGCUUGGUCCGUCCCCUCCAUGCAUCGAGCUGGUUAAAAAAACGAGAAGAAAGAAAAAAUCAACCUCU